rnacentral:rRNA from 1 species
CGGGACGGGUGAGUAACGCGUGGAUAACCUGCCUCACACUGGGGGAUAACAGUUAGAAAUGACUGCUAAUACCGCAUAAGCGCACAGUACCGCAUGGUACAGUGUGAAAAACUCCGGUGGUGUGAGAUGGAUCCGCGUCUGAUUAGCCAGUUGGCGGGGUAACGGCCCACCAAAGCGACGAUCAGUAGCCGACCUGAGGGGGUGACCGGCCACAUUGGGACUGAGACACGGCCCAA